GGACCAAUUUGUUGGUCGUGCCUCGGUACGUACUGGUAUUAUUGGUUUCUCCCUUCUGAAGAACCUUGAUGUCAUUAAUUUGGUGUCUUGGGGAAUCAGGACUGUUACUUUGAAAAAAUUAGAGUGUUUAAAGCAGGCAUACGCUUGAAUACAUUAGCAUGGAAUAAUGAAAUAGGACGUUUGAUUCUAUUUUGUUGGUUUCUAGGAUCGACGUA
rnacentral:rRNA from 4 species